AAAUACUGACAAUACACGAUACCUGUAUCCUUUUCGGGUAGAAGAUGACAAAAGAAGCUCGUCAGUCUCUGCAACAACUGUUAAUAGCUACUUAUCCAUCCAUGAACACCUUUGUGCAUUUUGUAUCCGUAGUUGCGAAAGUCCUGGAAUUGGAAAGCAACAGAAAAAUCUGUGAUAAAGAUUUAUGACUUAAAUUGUUGUUUUAUUUUUGUAGAGAAUUUUACACAACCAACAACAAACUUGUCUGAAGAAUCGGAAAUAACAAACCCAACUUCAACGAAAAAAAGCAGCGAUGGGAUUUUAGACAGAGAAAUCGUACUUUAUGCCGUAGUUGCUGCUUGCAUUAUAGUAACAUUAGGUCUGAGUUAUUCAGUUCAAAAAUACAAAAAGAAAACUAAAAAAGAAACAAGGGCUAUUACUGUGCAGAGAACACAUUCAAAUGAACGCAAUUCUUUAGUUGAAUCCAACCUAAGCAUUUACAAUGAAAUUGACGAAACCAUGCUUGUUGAAAAUGCUCAUAUCAAUGUGUUACAGAAUGAAAUAUCUAUAAAUACUAACAACACAAGUUACCUGUAUCCAAUUCAUAUAGAAGAUGACAAAUUAAGCACGUCAGUCUCUGCAAAAAGUGUAAAUAAUAGCUACUUAUCCAUCUAUGAAUCAGAUCAGAACCGCAAUUCAGAUGAGUCAGACAGAAAUGACGACACGAGAAGUUAUCUUCAUCCUUAUCAUACGAUUAAUGAAGACUGGAAAGAGAAAACUCACCAAUAUGGUAUACCACUUGUCUCAAACAAGGACACGGACGAUUCAUCUGAUUCUAGUACGCAAAUGAUUAAUGAUGGAUACGUAAAUCCAUAUCAACCUCUGAACGAAGACUGGAAGCAUAAAUCUCACAGUUAUGAAGUCCCUGUGAAGGUUCAUCAUUGUCAGCUUAGUUCAACAGUACCUUCUAUAUUAGAUGAGGAGCUUGAAGAAGAGGGCAAUGAUAAUAAUCAAAUAACGAGAAUUAAGCACAAUAAAGUUGCACAUAUCGAUGGAGCAGUUAUAUCGACCUGUAAUAAACAGGAAAUGGCUGAUGGUAUAUCCAUGAAUGAUGAAAGGAAAGAAAUUUCAGAGAGUAUAGAAAAUAACCUUGAGAUAUCAAAAGAAUUGACAAAUAUGAAUAAUUUCUCUACAAACAGUUUCUCUAGUACAGAAAGAGAAAAUGCAUUAGUUCCGGUAGUUGAACGUGAUAUUAAAGAUUUUGAUAAAAAUGAGGAUAAUCCGCAUAAUUACAAUUUAUUGAAAAACGUUACGAUUCACACUGUUGCCUCAAUUCAUACCGAUCAAAAUACAAACGUACAUAAUUACACUGAUGCUAAAUCUCAAUAAAAAUGUUGACGCUGUACUUUCUUGAAUGUAACAAGCGUAUUUUUUUAUAUAAAUGUGAUGAUGUG